rnacentral:lncRNA from 1 species
UUACACCACAGCAGCUCUGGAAGUCGUCUCAUUGAAUUUGGGCCACCAUGGAGUCCAGUUAUCAGCCAGACUACUAAACAAACUUGAUCUUCAAGCUGCAAGAGCUAACAACUAUGACGCGUCUUGUAAGUUAUCCCAUAUGAAUCAAGAGGAUCCAGGGAUGGAAACUGUGAUGCACACCCGCAACUCCAGCUACAUGGGAGCCGAGGUGGAAAAGUCACAAGUUCAAGGCCAGCCUCAGCAACUUAGCAAGACUCGGUCUCAAAGUAAAAACAGCUGGGGGUGGGGAGUGUAUCACAAUGGUAGUGCUUGCCUAGCGUGUUCAAGGUCCUAAGUUCACUCCCCAGAACUGGGAGGGAAAUAAUAGUUGAUCCUGGCUCUUACGGCUUGGAUAUGAGGCAUCCCCCAAAGCCUCUGUGUAGGAAUACUCAGAAGCAAAGUGACAAAAUCACGAGAGCGGCAGCCUAAUGACAAGCUGAUUAACAGGCCCAUGUUGUAUCCCGUCUUCUUUGGUAAGUACCCUUAGAUGUCACAUCUAUUCCCCAGUUUAUGCUAAUUACAGGAGUGAGGCUUUGCAGCUCUACUGGGGUGUGAUUGGGGUCCUCCAGA